CCACCUACGGGGCGCAGCAGUAGGGAAUCUUCCACAAUGGACGAAAGUCUGAUGGAGCAACGCCGCGUGAGUGAAGAAGGGUUUCGGCUCGUAAAACUCUGUUGGUAGUGGAGAAAGAUUGAGGUAGUAACUGGCCUUUAUUUGACGGUAAUUACUUAGAAAGUCACGGCUAACUACGUGCCAGCAGGCGCGGGAAUACGUAGGUGGCAAGCUUUGUCCGGAUUUAUUGGGCGUAAAGCGAGUGCAGG
rnacentral:rRNA from 1 species